rnacentral:rRNA from 1 species
AUUGAACGCUAGCGGCAGGCUUAAUACAUGCAAGUCGAGGGGCAGCAUGAUUGUAGCAAUACAAUUGAUGGCGACCGGCAAACGGGUGCGGAACACGUACACAACCUCCCAAUAAGUGGGGAAUAGCCCAGAGAAAUUUGGAUUAAUACCCCGUAACAUAACGAUGUGGCAUCACAUUGUUAUUAUAGAUUUUUCGCUUAUUGAUGGGUGUGCGGCUGAUUAGAUAGUUGGCGGGGUAACGGCCCACCAAGUCUACGAUCAGUAGCUGAUGUGAGAGCAUGAUCAGCCACACGGGCACUGAGACACGGGCCCGACUCCUACGGGAGGCAGCAGUAAGGAAUAUUGGACAAUGGACGCAAGUCUGAUCCAGCCAUGCCGCGUGAAGGAUUAAGGUCCUCUGGAUUGUAAACUUCUUUUAUAAGGGACGAAAAAAGGCUUUUCUAAGUCGUCUGACGGUACCUUAUGAAUAAGCACCGGCUAACUCCGUGCCAGCCGCCGCCGUAACAC